AUUGAACGCUGGCGGCAUGCCUAACACAUGCAAGUCGAGCGGAGUCGAUCGACGGAAGCCUUCGGGCGGAAGAUGGUUGACUUAGCGGCGGAUGGGUGAGUAACGCGUGGGCAACCUGCCUCGAAGACCGGGAUAACAGCCCGAAAGGGCUGCUAAUACCGGAUGUGGUCAAGGAUCCGCAUGGAUUUUUGAUUAAAGGGGAAACCCGUUUCGAGAUGGGCCCGCGUCCUAUCAGCUAGUUGGUGAGGUAAAAGCUCACCAAGGCGACGACGGGUAGCCGGCCUGAGAGGGUGACCGGCCACACUGGAACUGAGACACGGUCCAGACUCCUACGGGGGGCAGCAGUGGGGAAUCUUCCACAAUGGGCGAAAGCCUGAUGGAGCGACGCCGCGUGAGCGAAGAAGGCCUUCGGGUUGUAAAGCUCUGUCUGGAGGGACGAAGGAAGUGACGGUACCUCCGGAGGAAGCCACGGCUAACUACGUG
rnacentral:rRNA from 1 species